rnacentral:lncRNA from 1 species
CUUCACCAAGUCAGCUUAAGGGACACCAUUAAAAGGACUGGUCUAGGAGCACCUAAAUCAGUCACACUAAUUUACCUAGCUAACAUGGGUCAGCUCGAAUAGUCAAGUGACCCGAUCAAAAUAUAAUUUCAUCAAGAGGCCAGGUAAGUUCGAUCGGUGGGAGGGUCUGUCAAAGCUUGCCUUAGAUACCAUCAGAAAUGGCCAGGUAAGCAGGCUGUCAAUUAAAAAAUAUCGGUCUGGUUUACCUUAGACACAAACUAGUUUAAUUAGAUUCGAUUUGAUCAACCUAACAGUUCAUGCUAGACCGCUUAGCC